rnacentral:lncRNA from 1 species
UCACUCUUUGUAACUUCUGUUACUGUUUUCCAGGUGCAAGUAUGAAGCCCUCCUCCCCAAACAAACAUUUCAUUCGUGACACAAACCAGCAGAUUCUAGUUCUGGAAGGCAACACCCUUGUGGCGGUUCCAGACAAGAAAGGCAAACGUGGAGAGACCUUUUAUGUGUCAACUCUACCAAGAGCCAGAAGCUCAAAGGCAAAUAAGAUAAUUUUGGCUGUGUCUAAGGGAGAACGCUAUCUCUGCUGUGAUAGAGUAAAAAAACCAAAGCGCCCCUCACUAGAAUUAAAGGUAAGAGCUAAGGAAAUCUCCUCUGUCCUCCAGCUCAGGAAAGUAGAAAUUCCUAGUGCGAGGACCCACAACCUAAACUUUAGCCAAGACCACCCUAAUCUUUGCUUCUUUCUCCACAAAAGUAGCCUGGUCAAGUGUUAGCCAUUUCUCAGUCACAGUAACAAGUGCCUAAGACAGUCAGCUUCUAAAGAGAAAAAGACUUUGGUUCACAGUCUCAGCUAAUUGACUCAUGCUCUGGGGCCUGUGGUAGCACACCACAGUGGAAGCACAUUGGGGUAAGGGAGUCCAGCCUGCUCACUUAAUGGCUAGGAUGCAGAAGAGGGAGAAAGGCUUGAGGUCCCACAAUUCCCUUUGAGGGCACACUGAUCAAUGACUAAGCCCCUCUUAAUGUUCCCAUCGCCUCCCAAUAGCCCCAAAGUGAAGACCAAGGCUUUGACAUGUAGACCUUUGGGGGAUGUUCUAGGCCUAAACUGUAGCAGCCACUAAUAAAUUCUCCUUUGUCUUUCCAAAAGAAAAUGAAAGAACUGAAGUCACUGAGCUCCUAUAAGCUCCUGCCCUUCACUUUCCUGAAGGAAAAGGUUGGUUCCUAUUUCACACUGGAGUCAGCUGCUAAUCGAGGGUACUUUAUCUACACCUGCAACAGACCCAGGCAACCUGUGGGAGUGACAAAGGAGCUGGGGAAGAAAAAUACCCACUUUGAAUUCAUAAAUGCAAAUGUGGAUCUCAGUGAGAUUGAAAACUGAAAACACAAUAGAACAGUUGCCAGACAAGCUAUGACAGCAGAAUUUGGUAUUAGCCUGAUAUCCAUCAACAAAUAGGAAUAACUUUAUAAAUGCUACUUUCAACCAGCAAGUCUGGGGAUUUGAUUUUUUUUUUGUGUGUGUGUGAUUUAUUUCUUUAAAGUGUUUAUAGUUAAUUUAAAAUUUGUAGGCUGAAAUAACUUUAUGGGGGAAAACAAUCUCAAACCUCCAAGGGGUUUCCUAUUUUCUAAAACAUUUCUGACCUCCUCUGGAUGAUUCUAUAUUCCAUGAUACAGCUAGCCUGUUGGUGAGUUACUUCUUCCAGAAGGUAACUGGAGUGAUUCUAGGCUCUCAGAUCAGUCAUACAACAUGUGGAAGUUAGAUGGAUUCUAGGGAAACUCACCAAGCUACAGGUGCAAACACAAAAGUUUCUGUGGAGCUUCAGGGCUUCUGGAGCAUGGCAAGGAGUCUUCCCAGGCAGAAGAUGGGACGAGGACAUGACAAAAGGGUCUGGAGGUGGCAGGGAGACCGAAGGCAGGUAGCAGGGCCCUUGUCACCGGUGGGGGCAUAUCAGUCAGACGAGAUCUAGCUCCGAUCCUCAGCAGGAUCUUAUGCAGGGAAACAAUCAGAUUGGGAACUUGGAGCUUGGGAUUGAAGCCGGAGAGGAGAAGGCUGUGUGCGUUUAACUCUGAAGGGUGCAUUCAAAAUAUUUAAUGCUUAGAUGCAGAAGAUCCCUGCCUAUCCAAGAGCUGUUGUCUGAAAUGAGGACAACCUGAUGGGGACAGCAUGUCCCUCUGUUAUCUGCUGUUCUGUGUCUGUUAGAAAGACAGACCUUACCUAUGUUACCUUAAGACUAAAAGCCAA